AUGGCCGAUUCCAAAAUCCCCGACGCGCAGUCCGGCUACGAGAAAGGCUACACGCUCGCGCUCGCCGGCCACAGCGGCGCGAACCUGGUGUAUGAGGCGG
rnacentral:ncRNA from 1 species